UACAGAGGGUGCGAGCGUUGUCCGGAAUCACUGGGCGUAAAGGGCGCGUAGGCGGCUUGAUAAGCGUGCGGUGAAAGCCCGGGGCUCAACUCCGAGUCGGCCGUGCGAACUGGGCUCACUGGAGCAUAGUAGAGGCAGGUGGAAUUCCGGGUGUAGCGGUGGAAUGCGUAGAGAUCCGGAAGAACACCGGUGGCGAAGGCGGCCUGCUGGGCUAUGGCUGACACUGAGGCGCGACAGCGUGGGGAGCAAACAGG
rnacentral:rRNA from 1 species